AGUCCCAAGUCUGUUUCUGGGUCAGACCAGCCAGAGCAGGAGGAGAGAGGUUGGCCUCCUCCUCAAGGUGUGAGCUCUGAUUCCUGGAGAAGAUGCCGGUAACAGGAAGUACCGCACUCAAGCUCCUUUUGGGCGGGAGCGGUCUGAAAUUACUGUUAUCAGUAACAGGGCCUGGUGCGCUUGUGCUAGCCGUGGGCUCCGUGGCAGCAGGACUCACAGGAAUCAGCUUCUUCUGGUGGAAUAAGGCCAAGGAAUACAAGAUGCAGGAAAAGCAGUCCUCAGGUUACCUACAUCAUGUCCUGGUUACGACAGGAAUUGUUACCUUUCUUUUCAUUUUUUAUUACUGUUUCACUUCAUUUCUCACUGUUGAAAAAAAUGCCGUUAUGUCAAACUAUAGAAACUGAUCUCCCAGGUUACCCGAGGACCUACUCUAUUAUUGACAGGAAUCCUUUCCAAUCCCCUGGCCAAAAGCAGAAGGCUCCACCUUCCUGGGGAACGUGUGCAGCAACAUGCUACACACAGCUUAUAUGUUGAGUAUAAACAAGUCAACUUUUGAGCAAAAUCAAAAUUAAUUAAAUACACAUUGAUUGAGUG